UCAAAUCUCGCCGUUGUCUGGACUCAGCUGCACUUCUCCGUCUGUCUGCCUUCACCACCAUGGGUAACACAUUCAGGGAGCCAUCGUCGCUCCUGCUGCUUCCUCUGGAUUGUCCUUGUUUGGCGAUGCCCCACCUAUGUAUGUUCCCCAAUCUAAUCUAUUUGCUUUCCUGUUUUUUCUCCUCUGGGUUUGUAAUUGUAGUAGCAAGAUCAGGGGCUGGGGAGAAGAAGCCUCGCUGUCCGUCCCUAUAGGGUGACGGUUGGCGUGUCUCUGGCGACUGCAAGGGCGACCGCGAUCUGGCGUGGUGGAAACCUAGGUUUUCUCGAUCCGCCGCCGCCGUCCCGUCUCUGGUCUUGUGAAGUCCGUCGCCGUCACGUCCCAUCCACAAAGGCCUUCCACGCGCCUCCCUAGGGCGCGUGGUCGUAAAACACCUAAACCAUAGGAGGAGGAGGGGGAGGUAUGGAGGGGGUCGCUGGUUUGUUGAAGGGGCUGAAGCUCUCCGAUGAGGAGAAGAAGGGGGUGCGGAUCAGGAUUCCGACCAAGGAGAAAGGCAAGGAGGGGGUGGCUCAGGCGGUCGGGAAGGUGAUGUCAGAGAAGCUAGCACAUCCGGAUGCGAUCUGCCUCACGCUGGGAAAGAUCUGGUGCCCGAUCAAAGGUAUAGGGUGCACGGAGAUUGGGGUCAACCAGUUUUUGUUCACGUUUCACCAAGAGACGGGGAAGAGGAAGGCUCUGGAAAACGGCCCAUGGAUGUUCAAUAAAGAACUGGUGGUUGUGGAGGACUAUGUGCCCAGUAAGAGACCGGAGGACUAUCAAUUCAAUAAUAUCCCGAUCUGGAUCAGGGUCUACGACCUGCCCUUGGGUAUGAUGAACGAGGAAGCUGCUGAGGAGAUCGGGAAACUAGUAGGACGUUUUGAGGAGGCAGACACUGGAGCUGAUGGAAACGCGAUUGGCAAGUUCUUGAGGAUCAAAGUGCGGAUGAGGAUUGAUAAACCUAUUAUGCGAGGGUUUACGCUGUGCGAGGAGUCGGAGGGGGAUGAAGUGCAGGAUAAACGGAUGGUUGCAGCGGGGGAAGAAGAUGAAGGGGAGGAGAAGGGGUGGUGUAGGUUUGAAUACGAAUAUCUCCCAGAAUUUUGCUACACGUGUGGUGUGAUUGGCCAUGGGGAGAAGGAGUGCUCGAUCGAAGGAGGAAAGGGAGGGAAGAAGCAGUUCGGGAGGUGGCUUAAGGCUGAUAUGGGGCAGAGGAGGGGUUUUGCAGAGGAGGGUCUGUGGAGAAGUGCCAAUCGCAACUCGGGGAGAGAUCGGUUUCUUGGGUUCAGAAAGUCAGGAGAUAGGUCAGGGAGUGGCAGCGACAGUUUAUUAUGGCGGAAGAGUGAUUCGCAGUCUGGCGAGGGUGGAAGGGAAGCAAAGGAGAAGGGGGAGGAGGUGACUAGCCCGCUCAAGAAUACCACAGUCCCGCCAAGAGGGGGAGUACCAAAGAAGCUCGUCUUUCAGGAAAGGGGCACAAUCACAGAAACGAGCGAGAGGGUGAAGGGCAGGGGAGACGACGAAAAGGAGGAGGCCGUUCAUGGUAUGGUGGGAGGGGGGAAAGCGCCUGCCUUAGGGGAAGGAGGUGUAAGCAAGAACCCAGAAGGAAAGAGAUACAGAAAGAAAGGCAGGGACAAGGUUAGGCCGGAAGGUAUUGUUGCUAUGGAGGCGGUGGUAGGCCAGAAGAGAGGAGGGGCAGAUGAAGACCAGGAGAUGGUGAGGAAGAAGGGAAGAGUGGAGGGAGAGGAGGAUAAGGGGGAAGAAAACCAGGAAGUUCAGAAGGAGGGAGCUCAAGACUUAUUAUCGGCCGGGUUGCAAGGGCAACCCCGCCGGGAGCAAUGAAAAUCGUUGGAUGGAACUGCCGGGGGCUCGGGAAUGGCCCGGCAGUUCGUAGUCUCCUCGAUCUGGGGAGGGAGGAGGAUCCUGACAUAGUGUUUCUGGCGGAGACAAAGCUGACAGAGAAGGAACUGGAGAGAUUUAGGUGGACCUUGGGGCUGGCUCACUUAAUAGUAUCAAGCUCCGAGGGGAGAAGUAGAGGAGUGGCUCUGUUUUGGAGACGGGGUGUUGAUCUGACGCUGCGAUCGUUCGGAAGGAGGCACAUUGAUGCAGAUGUGGAGGAGAACGGAAGGGUGUGGCACCUGACGGGGGUUUAUGGGGAGUCAGAGGCGGAGAGGAAAGUGGAGACGUGGAGGGUGAUGAAACUACUUGCUCAACAGCAUCAAGCAGGAAGGCCGUGGCUGUGUAUGGGUGACUUUAAUGAAAUCCUAUCAACGGAUGAAAAAUCGGUGGCGCUGUCAGGCCACAGCGACACAUGGAUAGAUUUAGAGAAGCGUUGGAGGCCUGUGAGCUGUGUGACAUUGGUUAUGAGGGGGACAAAUACACGUGGAGGAACCAUAGCAAGAAGAUCAAGUCUUACAUCUGCGAGAGGUUGGACAGGGCUACGGCUAACGCCUCAUGGUGCGAAUGGUUUCCUGAGUUCACAGUUAUAAAUGGAGCUCCACGGCAUUCUGAUCACCGACCGGUCAUAGUUAAUACCCAGGGAGGAGGGAGGAGACUGGAGGGGGGGUGACCGGGGCUUCCGUUUUCAGGCCUGGUGGCUGAAGGAGGAGGGAUGUAGCGUGGAGGUGCAAGGUGCGUGGGAGCAAGGCUGUCGGGAGGGUAGUGGAGAUGUGGCGUCGGCGAUGCGAUGCAUGGCUGGGAGGAUGAGAAGGUGGGGAAAGGAAGUCGCGGGGGAGUUGGAGACCCGCCUAAAGCAAGCACGGCAAAGCCUGGAGAGAUGCAUGAGGGCUCCGGUGUCCGAGGAGAAAAUAAGAGAAGAGGCGAGGCUGAGGUGUGUUGUGGAGGAUUUGGAGGAUAAGAAUAACACCAAAGCUAGACAGUUAUCACAUGUGUCGUGGCUAAGGGACGGCAACAAGUGCACCCGUUAUUUCAUGGCAGUGGCGUCGGCGAAGAAGAAAGCAAACAUAAUUAAAAUGUUAAGGAGGGAGGAUGGAACGGAAGUGAAGGAAGGAGAAGGGCUAAAUAACUAUGUUUUCUCUUAUUUUCGGGAACUGUUUACGUCCACUAAUGCACAUCGCAUGGACGAGCUCCUGUCAAAAGGUGCAACUGCGGGUGACAGAAGCUAUGAAAGCCGUCCUUGAAGCGGACGUAACCAGAGAGGAGGUUAAAGCAGCGCUUGACCACAUUGGAGACCUUAAGGCUCCGGGGCCUGAUGGCAUGUCGUCGAUUGUUUACAAGAAACAUUGGCACUUCAUGGGUGACAAGGUGGUUGACGAAGUGAUCUCGGUCCUGAAGGGAGGCCCUAUGCUGGAGGGGUGGAACGAUACUGUCGUCGUGCUCAUCCCAAAAGUGAAAGAUCCAAGGAGAAUUAAGGACCUAAGACCCAUCAGUCUUUGCAAUGUAGUGUACAAGUUAUGCUCAAAGGUGAUUGCCAAUAGACUGAAGCUUGUGCUCCCGGAGAUUAUAUCGGAUAACCAGAGUGCGUUCGUUCCGGGGCGUCUUAUCACCGACAAUGUACUCAUUGCAUAUGAACUAUCGCACACCCUUUUGAACAAGAGAAGAGGGGGCAAAGGCAUUGCGGCGGUGAAGGCGGACAUGAGUAAGGCUUAUGACAGAGUUGAAUGGGACUUUCUGCGCGCUAUGCUUCUCAGAUUGGGGUUUGGGACCAGAUGGGUCGAUCUUGUGAUGAACUGUGUUUCUAGUGUGCGCUAUCAAAUAAAGAUCAAUGGUGAGCUUACUGAACAGUUCUCUCCUACGCGUGGAUUACGUCAGGGUGACCCUUCGUCACCAUAUCUCUUUGUCAUUUGCGCGGAGGGGUUAUCGGCUUUGCUACAUGAUGCGGAAGCGAACAGAUGUAUUGUGGGUGUGAGGAUUUGCCCGACCGCACUUGUUGUUUCUCACCUGUUAUUUGCGGAUGAUUCGGUCUUGCUGCUCAAGGCGAAGAGGGAGGAUGCAGAGGCGCUGAGAGACAUUCUGGACCUCUAUGAAAGCUGCUCUGGUCAAUGUAUAAAUCUGGAGAAGUACGCGAUCAUGUUCAGUCCUAAUGCUAGUGCUGCAGCAAAGGCUGCAGUCAAGGAUGCUUUGCAAAUUCAGAGUGAAACAUGGAACGAGAAAUAUCUUGGGCUGCCUGUUCAUGUUGGGAAAUCGAGGAGGAAGGCUUUUGCGUUUGUUAAGAACGCUAUCUCGGGGAGGAUCUACGGUUGGAAAGAGAGAUUGAUAGCAAAAACUGGGAAGGAAACGCUAGUCACUGCGGUGGCCCAAGCUAUACCCACGUUCGCUAUGUCCUGUUUUUACCUGACGAAGACCUUCUGUGAGGAGCUUAGUUCAUUGAUUGGAAACUAUUGGUGGAGUCAGCAAGAUAAAGAGCACACAACCCAUUGGAUAGGUUGGGACAAACUGAGGAUGCCAAAGGCGAAAGGAGGACUCGGGUUCAGGGUUAUGCAUGCCUUCAAUGUCGCCAUGUUAUCACGCCAGGCUUGGAGGCUCAUACAAAACCCAGACUCAUUGUGUGCGCAGAUUCUGAGAGCUCGAUAUUAUCCAGAUGGGCAGCUGUUAGAAGCACAGCCAGCUGCGGGUAUCUCUUAUGCUUGGCGUAGCUUGUUGCAUGCCGUCCAACUUGUCAGAGAAGGAGUCAUAUGGAGGAUAGGAGAUGGUACAAGUGUUAAUAUAUGGACCGAUCCGUGGAUCCCUCGACCCUGGUCGAGGACAGUGAUCACACCUCGUGGUCAUUGCCUUCUACAGCAUGUUAGUGAGCUCAUUGAUCCAGUCUCGGGUGGUUGGGACGAGCAACUAGUGAGAGACACCUUCUGGCAUGAUGAUGUAGCAUAUAUACUCCGCAUCUCGCUUAGAGAGGGAGUGCAAGACUUCAUGGCCUGGCAUUACGAUAACAAGGGGCUACACUCGGUCAAGAGUGCCUACAAAUUAUAUGUCCAGUUGGAGAAAACCAGGAGAGAUGGAGGAGCUGGGGCGAGUUCAAUAACCCCGGGAAAUCUGAAUCGUGUUGGUGAUGAUUCCUGGAAACGUAUAUGGAAGUUACCAUGCCCAAGAAAUGUUCAGAUGUUCAUGUGGAGGAUCAAACACGAGUCUCUCGCGCUUCGUACCACGGUUGCUAGGAGAGGUAUCCCGAUAGAGGACACCAAGUGCCUGUUCUGCAGCCGGGGAGAUGAGGAUGGAGCGCACCUAUUUAUAAAGUGUAAGGUGGUGAAGGAGGUGUGGAGGGAUUUCGGCCUGGAAAAGGAACGCAACGAGCUGGAGAAGACUGAGGGCGUGCAUGCAAUGCUGGAGUAUAUUUGGGGGCUAGAUGAGAAAAAGAGGCUACACAUCCUCACUUUUUGGUGGCAGUGGUGGGCAAAUAGGAACAAAGCACGCGAAGGGGAGCUACCGAUCUCACCGGCGGAUCUGGCGCGCAGGACGAGGAGUAGCAUCCUGGAGUUCGCAGAUAUCUUCUGUAAGAAAGCAGAGAAGCUGCCCCCUGACAAGUGGCGUCCAUCGGCUCCUGACACUUACAAGAUCAAUGUGGACGGCUCGUUUGUGGCGGGCGAGGAGCAUGUUGGCUGGGGUUUAGCAGUGAGGACGGAGGCGGGCACUCUGGUGCAUGCACGGGCCGGACGACAGGAGCAUGCAGCGGAGGCGUUCGAAGCGGAGGUGAUUGCCAUGGCCAAAGCGAUUUCGACGGCGGCUGAGCUCGGUAUGGUCAGAGUUGAAUUUGAGACGGACUCCCAGCUACUGUCUGAUGCCUUGGACAUGAGGAGGGCAGACUCGACGGCGUACGCAGCUGUUAUAGAGGACAUGAAAUAUCAGCUGAAGCUUUGGUUUUCUUUCUUUUCCAUUUCAGUUUGUAGGCGCAGUGCGAACUCGGUAGCCCAUGAGCUUGCCAACAUUGGGCGCUUGUGCGAACCAAACCACUAUUUAGAGUGGGAGUCUGAUGUACCAGCCCGGGCGGGCUAGUGUGUUGUGGGCGAUAUGCCUCAUCACAGUUAAGUAAUGAAGCCUUGCUUUGCUUUCAAAAAAAAAAGAUCAGGGGCUGGGCAUGGACACCUCCGGCCACGAUAUAAAGUUGAUGCUGGUCAGAGCCAAACUAGAUGAGAUCCACCACUCGCCUCACCACGAUCAGGGGCAAUUACUACAUCUCUAAUACUGGUUGGAAGCUGUGAGUUUUAGAUUUAUUAAAUCUGAUGGUCUGUUGGUCCCUGUUGUGAUUUGAGGAGAAGGUUGUGGUACGGGCGUUGCACAGGCAGUAGGCACAAACGGGAGAUGCUGAAUGUGGCAUUUUACUGGCACUGAUUUUUUUUUCUAGAUGAUGACGGGCAUGUACAGGCAGUGGGCACAAAAUGUGAUUCGAUCUGUUAUAGAGUGUACUUCAUAUGAACAUGAGUCGUUAGCUAUCUGAAAAACAAAUAAAAAAGUGUGCACUCAUUUAUAUGUUUAGUUACAUAAGAUAAAUCGAGAUCCCUCUGCCCCAUUCUUCGUCAGGGCUUUGUUUUCCCUUUCCGUAUUACAUUUCAGAUGUGACUUUUGCCAUGUUGCUACCCUUCUUAUGCUGUUAUUUAUUGUACUUUUUGGUCGAUUUUCUAUAUCAUUACUGACAUUGAUAGACAACGAUGGAACGACCAUGAUCACUCUACCUUGUUGCUUCAUCUUGCAGUACAAUGAUAAUAUGCCAAAUUAUUAGCAUUAUGAUUUGGAAUAAAGAAUUUCUAGGCGUCAUUUUUUUCUUCUUACAUUAGUAUUUUGAAUAAACACCCCCUUGACUUGUAAGAUAUUUAGAUGAAUGGAUGUUAAAGUAGUAUGGUCCUUUCAUUUCUAGAGUUAUCGUUUCCUUGCAUUAUUUUUUUAGAAUAAAUAGCUCUUACAUUUUAUUGGGUUUCUUGCCAAAUGGAUCCUCCAAAAGUAUAUGCUUGUGUUAUUCGGAACCUCUAUAGUGGUUUGUCAAGAGCAUAGGGCAUUGCUGCAUCUUAUCUGUCUGUCUACAAAUUUAUCCCAAUAUUACCCUUCUGGUGCAUCUUUAAUUUAGUUCAGUUUAGUCCUCACAUAUGUUCAUCUUCAUGUUCAUCAGAUUGAUGAGAGACUGAUGUUGCUGUGAUGAUAAGUGCCGGUGAUUUCUGUACUUUGCACUGAACCAACUGAAGCUAACAUUGAUUCUUGGUAAGAAUAAUGUGCGCUCAACUUUGCAUAGUUUUUAUAUAGUUAAGUUUGUAAUGUAUAUGACCAAAUGCGGCCACAUGGCUCACCAAAUAGUAUUAUAUUUGCAGUGUCUUGGAUUGUUAUUUAUACAAAAUUUUCAUUUGUAUUGAUCAGAACAGAAAGUAUGUAGUACUUCCACUAAUCUUUUUUCCUAUACAAAUACAGGGUGCAAGAAUUGGGAGUAUCUAAAGCACCAACGGUUGAAGGAGCUCAUCCGCCCACCGAGAGCAUUGCAGCUUUCCACAUGCCAUUGAUUACUCCAUCUGCUUUAGUUGCAUCAGAUACUCCAUCCUUUAAUUGUUCUUUAAUUGCAUUGCUGAUGUCACUUGCAUAUAUGUAACUAAGUGAAAAUAGGGCUUUGUAAGGACGUCACACUAUUAUUAGUUUGACAUAGUGUGACAUGUUUCACUGAGAAGCUUUGUCAAGAUUAGUAUAGUGAUUACUUUCAUGGAAUACCAUUUGUUUUCACUUUCCUUGUAGGAUCACCUAUUGGCACCUUCAUGGUCAUGAAAUGCUUAUGUUGUAGAUUUUCAUCCAAUUU
rnacentral:lncRNA from 1 species